rnacentral:rRNA from 1 species
GACGUAGGGCGCAAGCGUUGUCCGGAUUUAUUGGGCGUAAAGAGCUCGUAGGCGGUGUGUCACGUCGGCCGUGAAAACCUGCAGCUUAACUGUGGGCGUGCGGUCGAUACGGGUAUCACUGGAGUUCGGCAGGGGAGACUGGAAUUCCUGGUGUAGCGGUGAAAUGCGCAGAUAUCAGGAGGAACACCGGUGGCGAAGGCGGGUCUCUGGGCCGAUACUGACGCUGAGGAGCGAAAGCGUGGGGAGCAAACAGG